rnacentral:tRNA from 1 species
GAGGGUAUAGCUCAGUGGUAGAGUGCAUGCUUAGCAUGCAUGAGGUCCUGGGUUCAAAUCACAGAACCUCCA